rnacentral:rRNA from 1 species
CGAGUGAACCGGGAUGAGCUCAAAUUUGAAAUCUGGCGUCUUUCAGGCSUCCGAGUUGUAAUCUAUAGAGGCGUUUUCCGCGCCGGACCGCGUCCAAGUCUCUUGGAAUAGAGUAUCAAAGAGGGUGACAAUCCCGUACUUGACGCGACAACCGGUGCUCUGUGAUACGUUCUCAAUGAGUCGAGUUGUUUGGGAAUGCAGCUCUAAAUGGGUGGUAAAUUCCAUCUAAGGCUAAAUAUUGGCGAGAGACCGAUAGCGAACAAGUACCGUGAGGGAAAGAUGAAAAGCACUUUGGAAAGAGAGUUAAACAGCACGUGAAAUUGUUAAAAGGGAAACGAUUGAAGUCAGUCGUGUGGGAAGUAUUCAGCCGUCUCUGGCGGUGUAUUUGCUUCUCACGGGUCAACAUCAGUUUGAUCCGGUAGAAAAAGGCGGGAAGAAGGUGGCACCCUCGGGUGUGUUAUAGCUUCCUGUCAUAUGUGCCGGACCAGACUGAGGAACGCAGCUUGCAGCAAUGCCGGGGUUCGCCCACGUACAAGCUUAGGAUGUUGACAUAAUGGCUUUAAACGACCCGUCUU